rnacentral:rRNA from 1 species
GGCGCGUGCUUAACACAUGCAAGUCGAACGCUGAAGCACCAGCUUGCUGGUGUGGAUGAGUGGCGAACGGGUGAGUAAUACGUGAGUAACCUGCCCUUGACUCUGGGAUAAGCCCGGGAAACUGGGUCUAAUACUGGAUGCUACAUGUCACCGCAUGGUGGUGUGUGGAAAGGGUUUACUGGUCUUGGAUGGGCUCACGGCCUAUCAGCUUGUUGGUGAGGUAAUGGCUCACCAAGGCGACGACGGGUAGCCGGCCUGAGAGGGUGACCGGCCACACUGGGACUGAGACACGGCCCAGACUCCUACGGGAGGCAGCAGUGGGGAAUAUUGCACAAUGGGCGAAAGCCUGAUGCAGCGACGCCGCGUGAGGGAUGACGGCCUUCGGGUUGUAAACCUCUUUCAGCAGGGAAGAAGCCACAAGUGACGGUACCUGCAGAAGAAGCGCCGGCUAACUACGUGCCAGCAGCCGCGGUAAUACGUAGGGCGCAAGCGUUGUCCGGAAUUAUUGGGCGUAAAGAGCUCGUAGGCGGUUUGUCGCGUCUGCUGUGAAAGCCCGGGGCUUAACCCCGGGUGUGCAGUGGGUACGGGCAGACUAGAGUGCAGUAGGGGAGACUGGAAUUCCUGGUGUAGCGGUGGAAUGCGCAGAUAUCAGGAGGAACACCGAUGGCGAAGGCAGGUCUCUGGGCUGUUACUGACGCUGAGGAGCGAAAGCAUGGGGAGCGAACAGGAUUAGAUACCCUGGUAGUCCAUGCCGUAAACGUUGGGCACUAGGUGUGGGGGACAUUCCACGUUUUCCGCGCCGUAGCUAACGCAUUAAGUGCCCCGCCUGGGGAGUACGGCCGCAAGGCUAAAACUCAAAGGAAUUGACGGGGGCCCGCACAAGCGGCGGAGCAUGCGGAUUAAUUCGAUGCAACGCGAAGAACCUUACCAAGGCUUGACAUAUACCGGAUCGUUCCAGAGAUGGUUCUUCCCCUUUGGGGUCGGUAUACAGGUGGUGCAUGGUUGUCGUCAGCUCGUGUCGUGAGAUGUUGGGUUAAGUCCCGCAACGAGCGCAACCCUCGUUCCAUGUUGCCAGCACGUGAUGGUGGGGACUCAUGGGAGACUGCCGGGGUCAACUCGGAGAAAGGUGGGGAUGACGUCAAAUCAUCAUGCCCCUUAUGU